GGGGGAAAAAUUAAUAAUAAAUAUGAUAAUAAAAAAAUUUUUAAUAAUAAGAAUAUUUUGGGGGGUUAAAGUAUUUUUAAAAGAAAAAAUUAAUAAUUUUAUAAUUUAUUAGUAUUGUAAAAGAAAUUUGAAAUAUAAUUGAAAUAAGAAUUUAUUUAAAAGUAAAUUUAAUUUGUUGUAUCUUGUGUAUCAGAGUUUAUUAAUAAUAAUUUAUUUUUUAAAAUUCUCGAAUUUAAAAGAGUUAAUUGAUUAAAAAAUUUAUUGUUUUAUAAAUAUUUUAAAUAAUUAAUUGGAAAUGAAAUGUUAUUCGUUUUUAAAUAUAUCUAGUUUUUUUAGAAAAAAAUUAAAUUUUUAAUUAAUUAAAAAAUUAAUUAAUUAUUAAAUUAAUUUUUUAGUUAAUUUAAUAUUUUAAGGGAUAAGCUUUAAAUUAAAUUUUUAUAAUAAUUAAUUAAAAUUUUUGAAAAUUUUAUGAUUUAUAUUGUUAAAAAAUUUUAUUUUAUUAUAAAUAAUUUCAUUAAAUUUAAAAUUUAAUAUAAUUUAAUUUUUUAUAAAAAAAUAUUUUAUAAUUAAAAUAAAUUAGUUAUAAUGAUAAAAUUAGUAUAUUAAAUAAAAGUUUAAAUAAAAUUUAUUGAAAAAUUAUUUAAAAGGAACUCGACAAAUAAAUAUAUACAUUAUAUAUGUAUAUUAAUUAUAUUCACCUGUUUAUCAAAAACAUGUCUUUUUGUUAAUAAUUUAAAGUCUAAUCUGCCCACUGAUUAAAAUAAAUUGAAGGGCUGCAGUAUAUUGACUGUACAAAGGUAGCAUAAUCAUUAGUCUCUUAAUUGGUGACUUGUAUGAAGGAUUGGAUGAGAUAUAAAUUGUCUCUUAAAUAUAUAAUUGAAUUUAAUUUUUUAAUUAAAAAGUUAAAAUAAAUUAAAAAGACGAGAAGACCCUAUAGAGUUUUAUAAUUAUUUUAUUUUAAUUUUUAAAUUUAAUUAUUUAUAUUAUAAUAUUUUUAAUUAUUUUAUUGGGGUGAUAAAAAAAUUUAUUUAACUUUUUUUGGGUUUAAACAUAAAUAAGUGAAUUUUUGAUCCAAUAUUAUUGAUUAUAAGAAAAAAUUACCUUAGGGAUAACAGCGUAAUUUUUUUUUUUAGUUCGAAUAAAAAAAAAAGUUUGCGACCUCGAUGUUGGAUUAAGAUAAAAUUUAAAUGCAAAAGUUUAAAAUUUUGAUCUGUUCGAUCAUUAAAAUCUUACAUGAUCUGAGUUCAAACCGGUGUGAGCCAGGUUGGUUUCUAUCUUUUGAAAAUAUUAAUAUUUUAGUACGAAAGGAUCAAAUAUUAUAAUUAAAUUAAUUAAUUUUGAUUAUUAUUAAUUUAUUAAUAAAAUUUUUAUU
rnacentral:rRNA from 1 species